rnacentral:lncRNA from 1 species
UUUCCAACUUGCAGAAGUGGAUGGUUUAAAGAAAUUGUUUGGGAAAUAUCGUGACACCCAGAAAGGUUUGGAGAAAUGGGUUUGCCUACUUAAGGGCAAAGAUGUGGUGGCCUUUGUUCAUCAUUUUCAGGAGGUGAAAAGGAAAAUUUCCCUUCUUUAUCCUGAUCUGGACCACUGUACUUUUAUUCCCUUUCAGGAGCUUUUGUAAUAAUUUAAACAUCGACGUCCCCCUGGGGGUGCCAUUUAAUUGCUUU